CCCUUAGAUGCUCUGGGCCGCACGCGCGCUACACUGGCCGAUGCAACGAGUUUCUUUCCUUGGCCGACAGGCCUGGGCAAUCUUUGAACAUCGAUCGUGAUCGGGAUAGAUUCUUGUAAUUUUUGAUCUUAAACGAGGAAUUCCUAGUAAACGCAAGUCAUCAGCUUGCAUUGAUUACGUCCCUGCCCUUUGUACACACCGCCCGUCGCACCUACCGAUUGAAUGGUCCGGUGAAAUCUCCGGACUGGCGUGAGUCGGAGCAAUCUGACAAACGCCGGAAAGUUGAUUAAACCUUACCAUUUAGAGGAAGGUGAAGUCGUAACA
rnacentral:rRNA from 1 species